rnacentral:tRNA from 1 species
GCCUUCGUGGUGUAGUGGUCAGCACGAUCGACACGAAUUCGAGAGGUUCGUGGUUCGAGUCCCGGCGAUGGCA